GCUGAGCACUCCUACGGGGGCAGCAGUGGGGAAUAUUGCACAAUGGGCGCAAGCCUGAUGCAGCCAUGCCGCGUGUAUGAAGAAGGCCUUCGGGUUGUAAAGUACUUUCAGCAGUGAGGAAGGUGGAUAUGUUAAUAGCAUAUUCAUUUGACGUUAGCUGCAGAAGAAGCACCGGCUAACCCCGUGCCAGCAGCCGCGGUAAUACGGAGGGUGCGAGCGUUAAUCGGAAUUACUGGGCGUAAAGCGCAUGCAGGUGGUUUGUUAAGUCAGAUGUGAAAGCCCGGGGCUCAACCUCGGAAUUGCAUUUGAAACUGGCAAACUAGAGUACUGUAGAGGGGGUAGAAUUUCAGGUGUAGCGGUGAAAUGCGUAGAGAUCUGAAGGAAUACCGGUGGCGAAGGCGGCCCCCUGGACAGAUACUGACACUCAGAUGCGAAAGCGUGGGGAGCAAACAGGAUUAGAUACCCUGGUAG
rnacentral:rRNA from 1 species